rnacentral:lncRNA from 1 species
UUGUUUGUUUGUCAAGUUCUCAUCGGUGUCUCAAAUUUAUCCACAUAGUUUCACCGUUCUGAAACGUAAUGAUUCGGAAAAAGAACACAAAAUUACAAAGAAGCAGUAAUAAUGUAAGAUAAUUUUCUGAUUUCUGACCCCUCGGCUUGUCAGAUUUCAAAUAAUUUCUCCUCAUGAAACUUUUUGCAUUUUUUCUAAAGGACAGUAAGAAAAUUACAGACCAUUUGGCUCUAUUCCCUUUCCUAUUGUUGGGUGUAUAUGGAACAUGGCUGAUUAAGCCUAAACACUUAUCAGACAACCCUAGUUAGAACCUUACUAAUCAGACAAGCUAGAAGACGUGCUGAGACUAAUUGUUACGAAAGACACAAAGAAGGCUGAAAAAUAGCAUUACCUAACUCAGCGAAAUCCUCUGCAGAAGCUUUUUUUUUCCCUUUUUUUGCUAAAUUCCUCUGCAGAAACUUCCACAUGAUAAUCUCUGUCUUAUAUCUUAAUGUGAACUACGACAGUGGGCGAAUCCGUAAUCCAUGAAUGGAAA